GAUUAACGCUGGCGGCGUGCAUAACACAUGCAAGUCGAACGAUAAAACUUAACUGAUUUCUUCGGAAUGAUUUUAAGUGGAUUAGUGGCGGACGGGUGAGUAACGCGUGAGUAACCUGCCUUGGAGAAGGGGAUAGCCUUUGGAAACGAAGAAUAAUACCCUAUGAUAUGAUAAUAUCUCAUGAUAUUAUCAUCAAAGAUUUAUCGCUCUAAGAUGGACUUGCGUCUGAUUAGUUAGUUGGUGAGGUAACAGCUCACCAAGGCAGCGAUCAGUAGCCGGCUUGAGAGAGUGUACGGCCACAUUGGGACUGAGACACGGCCCAGACUCCUACGGGAGGCAGCAGUGGGGAAUUUUGCACAAUGGGGGAAACCCUGAUGCAGCGACGCCGCGUGAUUUAGAAGGCCUUCGGGUUGUAAAAAUCUUUUGUAUGGGAAGAAAAUGACAGUACCAUACGAAUAAGGACCGGCUAAUUACGUG
rnacentral:rRNA from 1 species